CAGCCCUUGACAUGUCCAGGACCGGUCGCAGAGACGCGACCUUCUCUUCGGAGCUUGGAACACAGGUGCUGCAUGGCUGUCGUCAGCUCGUGUCGUGAGAUGUUGGGUUAAGUCCCGCAACGAGCGCAACCCUCGUCCUUAGUUGCCAUCAUUAAGUUGGGCACUCUAAGGAGACUGCCGGUGAUAAGCCGCGAGGAAGGUGGGGAUGACGUCAAGUCCUCAUGGCCCUUACGGGCUGGGCUACACACGUGCUACAAUGGCGGUGACAAUGGGCAGCGAACCCGCAAGGGGGAGCUAAUCUCCAAAAGCCGUCUCAGUUCGGAUUGCACUCUGCAACUCGAGUGCAUGAAGUUGGAAUCGCUAGUAAUCGUGGAUCAGCAUGCCACGGUGAAUACGUUCCC
rnacentral:rRNA from 1 species